UACGUAGGGUGCAAGCGUUGUCCGGAAUUAUUGGGCGUAAAGCGCGCGUAGGUGGUCCCGUAAGUCCGCUGUGAAAGUCAAAGGCUCAACCUUUGAAAGCCGGUGGAUACUGCGGGACUAGAGUACGGAAGAGGCGAGUGGAAUCCUGGUGUAGCGGUGGAAUGCGCAGAUAUCAGGAGGAACACCAAUAGCGAAGGCAGCUCGCUGGGACGUUACUGACACUGAGGCGCGAAAGCGUGGGGAGCGAACAGG
rnacentral:rRNA from 1 species